UACGUAGGGGGCAAGCGUUGUCCGGAUUUAUUGGGCGUAAAGAGCGUGUAGGCGGCCUGGAAGGUCAGCUGUGAAAACUCGAGGCUCAACCUCGAGACGUCGGUUGAAACCACCUGGCUAGAGUCCGGAAGAGGAGUGUGGAAUUCCCGGUGUAGCGGUGGAAUGCGCAGAUAUCAGGAGGAACACCGAUUGCGAAGGCAGCUCGCUGGAACGUAACUGACGCUGAGACGCGAAAGCGUGGGGAGCAAACAGG
rnacentral:rRNA from 1 species